AACGAACGCUGGCGGCAUGCCUAACACAUGCAAGUCGAACGAGACCUUCGGGUCUAGUGGCGCACGGGUGCGUAACGCGUGGGAACCUGCCCUUAGGUACGGAAUAACUCAGGGAAACUUGUGCUAAUACCGUAUAAUGUCUUCGGACCAAAGAUUUAUCGCCUUUGGAUGGGCCCGCGUUGGAUUAGCUUGUUGGUGGGAUAAUGGCCUACCAAGGCGACGAUCCAUAGCUGGUCUGAGAGGGUGAUCAGCCACACUGGGACUGAGACACGGCCCAGACUCCUACGGGAGGCAGCAGUGGGGAAUAUUGGACAAUGGGCGAAAGCCUGAUCCAGCAAUGCCGCGUGAGUGAUGAAGGCCCUAGGGUUGUAAAGCUCUUUUACCAGGGAUGAUAAUGACAGUACCUGGAGAAUAAGCUCCGGCUAACUCCGUGCCAGCCGCCGCAGUAAUAC
rnacentral:rRNA from 1 species